rnacentral:pre_miRNA from 1 species
UCCUGGCGCCCUUCAUUCCACCGGAAUCUGUCGAUAUAGAAACCAGAUUUCAGUGAAAUGAAGCCCGUCAGAGA